GACGAACGCUGGCGGCGUGCUUAACACAUGCAAGUCGAGCGGUAAGGCCCUUUUGGGGGUACACGAGCGGCGAACGGGUGAGUAACACGUGGGUGAUCUGCCCUCAGCUCUGGGAUAAGCCUGGGAAACUGGGUCUAAUACUGGAUAUGACCUUUCCUCGCAUGGGGGUUGGGUGGAAAGUUUUUCGGCUGGGGAGUGGGCCCGCGGCCUAUCAGCUUGUUGGUGGGGUGAUGGCCUACCAAGGCGACGACGGGUAGCCGGCCUGAGGGGGCGACCGGCCACACUGGGACUGAGACACGGCCCAGACUCCUACGGGAGGCAGCAGUGGGGAAUAUUGCGCAAUGGGGCGGAAGCCUGACGCAGCGACGCCGCGUGGGGGAUGACGGCCUU
rnacentral:rRNA from 1 species